CUGACCACCCCGCCUGGCCAGCGUGACCUGGCUGGAGCCCUGGGGGUCGGGGAGGUUGUCCCCGGUGGCCCUGGGACUGCCCGGCCUGCCAUGGCUGGGGGCCGGCGCCCCC